rnacentral:rRNA from 1 species
ACCACUUGUUGCCUCGGCGGAUCAGCCCGCUCCCGGUAAAACGGGACGGCCCGCCAGAGGACCCCUAAACUCUGUUUCUAUAUGUAACUUCUGAGUAAAACCAUAAAUAAAUCAAAACUUUCAACAACGGAUCUCUUGGUUCUGGCAUCGAUGAAGAACGCAGCAAAAUGCGAUAAGUAAUGUGAAUUGCAGAAUUCAGUGAAUCAUCGAAUCUUUGAACGCACAUUGCGCCCGCCAGUAUUCUGGCGGGCAUGCCUGUUCGAGCGUCAUUUCAACCCUCAAGCACAGCUUGGUGUUGGGACUCGCGUUAAUUCGCGUUCCCCAAAUUGAUUGGCGGUCACGUCGAGCUUCCAUAGCGUAGUAGUAAAACCCUCGUUACUGGUAAUCGUCGCGGCCACGCCGUUAAACCCCAACUUCUGAAUGUUGACCUCGGAUCAGGUAGGAAUACCCGCUGAACUUAAGCAUAU